UUGUUCUGGUUCCAUGAUUGACUCCUAAUCCAUAUUUAUACUAAAUAAUUAAAAAUGUUCAUCUAGCAACUAUAAAUAAAUGGUGUGUCGGGAGGAGAAGAUGAAUGUGGAACAUUUGAAAUCCUCUGGAUCUUUGGCACCAAAACAUGAAGGUCAUUUCAUUGAGGGCCCAACAUUUUCAUACAGAGCAUUUGAGAAGGGAGAUCUCAAUAAAAUAUCAAAAAAAAAAAAAAAGAAAAAAAGAAAGCAAGCUACAGUAAAAAAAAUUAUUGCUACUUAUAAAUGCAAACGAAGACUGAGGACAACUAUUAUCAGCUUUCUACUCUUAAGAAGUAUUUAAGUUGCUACUCCUACUGCUACAUUUGGACAUUGGUUUACCAUGCCAUUUUUCCUUACAUAUGUAUAAAAAAGACUUUAAAAUUAAAAGUGGUAGUAUGCAUGUUUUCAGGCCAAAUAUAUAUUUCCAAACUGUUCUAAAUUUGUUACUAUCGUGUUUUUACUCCUGAGUAAUCAAUAACAUUGAGUAAUAAACACAGAAUUAUUUAUGUGUACAUAAAAAUUCUCAUGAUAAUUUUUGUCUAUUUUUCCUUUUCUGAGUUGAAAAGCAGCCAUUUUCAACAUAGCUAAUUGUUGCUACAGUAUCAUUUUAAAUUAAUGUGGUACAGUGUAUACUGAAAUAGCAAUGGAAAAAUAUUUAAGUUUUAACAAUGCUCUAUUCAGGUAAAUAUCCCUGCAGGAAUCAAAAUUAAUAAAUAUUAUCUUCAGUAGACAUAAUAAAAUAUAAUAUUUUUAAGAGGAGUUGUUAUUGUACCCAAUAUCUUCCAUUUGAUGUUUGUGAAAAGUUCGUUCAUUGCCAUAGCACAAUAAUAAUCCAUUUUACAAAUGUACCACAAUAUUAACCUAUUAUUCUAUAAAUAGACAUAUGGGUUUCUUUCCUUACUUUAUAUCAUAUUAAACUUUUAUAUUAUGAACAGUUCAUUGAAUCUACUAAUCCAUGUGUGUAGAAUUUAUAUCUUUAUGAUACUGAUUUUUGUUACUAGAGGUAUAAUAUGUCUUUCCAAUUAUUUGAAUCAUUUUUAAUGUUUUAAAAUUUAAAUACAUUUAAUUAAUAUGUAUGUAUCUGUUUGAAAGCAGAACAGCCGGAAAAAACAGUUGAACUGCCACUUUAAUUACUGACUUUUUAAAAAAUUAAUUUUAAGCAGAAAUAAGAUACUGUUUCCUCUGCCACAUUUCUGUCACUCAUGGCCACAAUCUCUCAAGUUGUAUAAGGGAGGUUGUCUGUUCAAAUCACGCAGUGUUCUUAUGUCACAAACCAAAACCUGAGUCUAUUAGGCCGAGCUAAUCUACUUUGACCUGGGUAAUUUCCAUCCUGGGAUGAUCUGAUCUGCCAUGGCUGUCAGAUUUUGGUGACUUCUACUACUCAAAGAAUUCUCAGAAUCCCAAAUUGCACCCCAUCUCACUAAGAGUGUGGAGAGGAAAAGAGAGAAGGAUAGAAAAAGAGAAGGAGGAAAAGGAAGUAUCUAUUUAUCUACCUGUUUAUAUCUAUACCUUUAUUUAUACUCACGGUAAAGGACAUUUGUCGAAAUAGCCCCCAAACACUAUUGCCACACCAAUAUCUAUUAAAAUAUAAACCAUCUUUAAUAAAUACUGAGCUGUGUAAAUAUUUAUUUGCAUGCAAAAUAAAAGCUCUUUAGUAUUCUUAAGCCAGGCUGAGCAAUCAACAGAUGAUUUUGAUAAAUGUCUGUUCAUUACCUGAACAUUUCUACUGCAAUAUAAAACAAAUAUUUCAUCUAUAUUUUAUUUUUGCUCAUGAAUGAUUCUAAUCAGUGUUAUUUUUAGAAUUAAAUUUGGAAAGUAAUGUAAAUAUUGGAGGAGAAUGGGUGUCUAAGAGGAUUUGCUGGUUCAUAGUCAUUAUAAUAGUCUCAAUAUACAAGAUAAUUUGAAACUCUAGGUCCCCUUUUGCUCAGGCAGUCUAAUUGUUUAUGUACAAGAAUUUUGCUCUAAGUAAUGUUCUUCAUGUUAAUAAAUAUAAUAAAAACAUACCCUUUUCUGGUAGUUGUUUUCUUUUAAUAUUAAUAUGUCCUUUUUCUUCAUGAUUCUGAAAACAAAUAUGAACUGCUAUAUAAAUAUUGAUCAACAAAUACUUCAUGACAUUUCCUGUAUGGCUUUAUGGCCACUAUUUAGACAUUUCAUUUAUGUCAUGGGUUUUGUUUUCUAUUUUUGUUGCUGUUUUAAAUCAGGGCUUGAUAUUGAUGGGGCCAGAUUAAGAAGUAAAGAACCACAGUAGUCCUCUCUCCUUCAUCUCUUCCUGUGUUAAUAAAU
rnacentral:lncRNA from 1 species